UACAGAGGGCGUGUGUGUUAUUCAUCUUAACUGGGGGUAGAAGGUGCGUAGAUGUUUGGGGGGGGGGGUUGUUUCAAUGUAAGGGCAGGUUAAAAUUAAUGCCGCGGUUGAAAUGAAGACUAAAUAGUCGAGUAUUAAAGACGAAAAAAGAAUUUUUAGUGUAAAGGUAAAAUUUUUUGAGACUAAAAGGAAAACCAGAGGCGAAGGCGUUUUUCGAUUUAAUUCUGACGUUGAGGCACGAAGGGAAAAGGAGCGAGACGG
rnacentral:rRNA from 1 species